UCCGGCUUAUCACCGGCGGUUUCUUUAGAGUGCCCUUUCGUAGCAACUAAUGACAAGGGUUGCGCUCGUUGCGGGACUUAACCCAACAUCUCACGACACGAGCUGACGACAGCCAUGCAGCCCCUGUGUGACAGUUCUCUUUCGAGCACUCCCGAAUCUCUCCGGGAUUCUGUCCAUGUCAAGGGUAGGUAAGGUUUUUCGCGUUGCAUCGAAUUAAUCCACAUCAUCCACCGCUUGUGCGGGUCCCCGUCAAUUCCUUUGAGUUUUAAUCUUGCGACCGUACUCCCCAGGCGGUCAACUUCACGCGUUAGCUGCGUUACCAAGUCAAUUAGGACCCGACAACUAGUUGACAUCGUUUAGGGCGUGGACUAC
rnacentral:misc_RNA from 1 species